rnacentral:rRNA from 1 species
AGCGAACGCUGGCGGCAGGCCUAACACAUGCAAGUCGAACGAACUCUUCGGAGUUAGUGGCGGACGGGUGAGUAACACGUGGGAACGUGCCUUUAGGUUCGGAAUAACUCAGGGAAACUUGUGCUAAUACCGAAUGUGCCCUACGGGGGAAAGAUUUAUCGGGGUAUGAUGAGCCCGCGUUGGAUUAGCUAGUUGGUGGG